rnacentral:sRNA from 1 species
ACCAGGUGUGGUGGCGCACGCCUUUAAUCCCAGCACUCGGGAGGCAGAGGUAGGAGCUUCACCAUGAGUUCAAGGCCAGCUUGAGACUACAUAGUGAAUUCCAGGUCAGUCUGAGCUGGAGUGAGACCCUACCUCAGAAAAAUAAAUAAAUAAAUAAAGAUAGAGUCUCACUCUAGCCCAGGCUGACCUGGAAUUCACUAUGUAGUCUCAGGGUGGCCUUGAACUCAUGGCGGUUCUCCUACCUCU